CGGAUUGUAGUCUGNAACCCGACUACAUGAAGCUGGAAUCGCUAGUAAUCGCGGAUCAGAAUGCCGCGGUGAAUACGUUCCCGGGUCUUGUACACACCGCCCGUCACACCAUGGGAGUCAGUAACGCCCGAAGUCAGUGACCCAACCGGAAGGAGGGAGCUGCCGAAGGCGGGACGGAUAACUGGGGUGAAGUCGUAACAAGGUAUC
rnacentral:rRNA from 1 species